CAUUAUUCAUUACAAAUUAGAAGUUACUCAAGUUAGAAGAACCCUAGCCGUCUCUCAUCUCUCAUCAUUGGCUCUGUGCGUCUACUCCCAUGUCUCAUCUACCGGCCGUCUCUGCGUCUGCUCCUCCAUCGCAGCCCAGCGACCAGCGAGACGGCGCAUCCACGGGACGACCGCUCGCCGCCUUCAUCGACCACCGCUCACAGAAUCGCAGCCCAGCGCCUCCAUCACAGAUUCGCAGUCCAGCUGGCAGCCGCCUCCACCAACCACCACAGUCCAGCCGCCUUCAUCGGCCACCGCAGUACAGUCCCCUCCCAUGAAGCGAUCUGGCGGACGACCUCCAAUUCCUCCGUCACAGUCCCAGGAGUGUGAUGUUUCUGUUGAGAUGGAAGAGAAAGAUACACCUAAUGAUUAUGCAAUACCCGAUCUCGAUGAGACACCCGUGGACUCUCCCAUUGAAUUAACUGGUACACCGAGUGGUCCUAGUGAAUAAAGUGUUGGUUCAAAAAGACUAAAAUCUGUGGUAUGGGAGCAUUUUACCAAAAAGAUAGUUAACGGUGUGGAUAAAGCAGAGUGCAACUAUUGCAAAAAUUGCUUGGGGGACAAAGUAAAAAUGGAACAAAGCAUCUGCAUGAUCAUCAGAAGUCCUGUAAGAUGAAACCCAUCCAAAAUCUGAAGCAACAAACGUUGUUACAACAACAAUGGACGUCGGAGGGAAAAAUGGGUUUAUCUACUUUCAAGUUUAAUCCUGAGGUUACUAGGCGGGAGCUUGCCUGCAUGAUCAUUAUGCAUGAAUAUCCUCUUGCAAUUGUUGAUCAUGCAGGAUUUAGAAGGUAUAUAGCUAGUCUUCAACCACUUUUCGACAUACCUUCUCGAAAUACAGUUAAGGCCGACAUUUUGAAGAUCUAUGAGGCUGAAAAAUUCAAGAUUAUGACACUUUUGAGCACAAAUUCAAGUAGGAUUGCCUUAACUACAGAUAUGUGGACAGCUUCGAAUCAAAAGAAAGGCUACAUGGCAAUCACGACACAUUUUAUUGAUAAUGAUUGGAAACUGCAAAGUUUGCUUAUGAGGUUUAUUUAUGUGCCUUGUCCACACACAGAUUUAGCUAUUUCUAAGGAAUUGUUGAAAUCUGUUUAUGAUUGGAAUAUUGAAAGGAGAUUAUCUAUGUUGACAGUUGAUAAUUGUUCGACAAAUGAUGCACUUAUUAACAUCCUUGUAGCUAAGUUAGGUUAUUCUCAUCUAUUGUUACGUGGGAGUUUAUAUAACAUGCGUUAUUGUGCCCAUAUUUUGAAUAUAAUUGUCCAAGAUUGAUUAAAAGUGAUGGGUGAUGGAAUAGAAAGGGUUAGAGAUAGUGUUUCUUAUUGGGUAGCCACACCAAAAAGGAUUGAAACUUUUACAGAAAAUGUGAGGCACUUGGGCAUAGACAGUCUAAGCAAUUGGUGCUUGAUUGUAAAACUCGAUGGAAUUCCACAUAUUUGAUGCUUAGUGUUGCAUUAGAAUACAAGGAUGUUUUUAUGCGUUUGAAAGAACGUGAUGUUGUGUUCACUUGUGCACCCUAUGAUGAGGAUUGGGAGUUUGCUAAGGAAAUUUGUGAAAGGUUGAAGUUGCUUUACACGGUCUCAAAUAAAUUUUCAGGGACUAAUUAUCCAACUUCUAAUAUCUUCUUUCCAUUGAUGUGUGAAAUCAAGUUUGCUUUGCUUAGUUGGAUUGAAUGUUCUAAUGUGGUUGUUGCAAAUAUGGCUAGAAGUAUGUUGUUGAAAUUUGAUAAAUAUUGGGAGGUAGUUAAUGGACUAAUGGAUGUGGCUAAUGCUCUUGACCCGAGAUAUAAGUUAGACGUGGUGGAGUUUUUUUUCCAUAAAAUAUAUGGAAACAAUGCUCAACGAGAAACGUAUAGGGUUAUGAAAUAUUGUGUGGAUUUGGUGAAAGAAUAUCAAAAGGAUUCUCAAGUUACCAACAAUGCUCAAUUUGAUUCUGAAAUCUCAGUAGAGAGUGGAUCUGAAGAUGAGGUUUUUUUUUAGUUCUGGAUUUGAUACAUAUCAGGGUAAGAGUAGUUCUACAAGGAGUUUGAAAUCAGAGUUGGACAAGUAUUUGGAAGAAGUAAAAAUGCCAAGAAAUGAUUCUAAGUUUAAUGUUUUACAUUGGUGGCAAGGUGUUGGACUUUGUUAUCCAACAUUGCGAAAGAUUGCAAAGGAUAUCUUAGCUGUACCUAUUUCUACUGUCGCUUCAGAAUCAGUUUUCAGCACUGGUGGUAAGGUGGUGACACCUCAUCGAAGUAGGCUUCACCCCGAAAACGUUGGAGGGGUUAAUGUGUUCGCAAAGUUGGUUGUUAAAAGAUGUCAAAGGCCAAGUGCCUACUUGGAAAGAUGCAUAUGGUACAAUUUUUUAUGAUUGUGGGAUUAGUCCAGAACAAUUUGAAGCGCUUGAGAUUGGAGAAGAAGAUGGUGAAGAAUGAAGAAAGAUUAAAGAAUGAAUAUUUGAAGAAGAUUUGGAUUUGAGAAGAAUGUUUAUAUUGUAUUGUUGAACUAUUUGUAAUUUGGACUAUUUGAAGAACAUCUACAUUUGGACUAUUUUAAUUUGUAUUUACUACUUUUGGAUUGAAAUUUGAACUACGGUAGUUGUAUUUUUAAAA